rnacentral:tRNA from 1 species
CAGUCCGUGGCCGAACGGGCGACGGUCGCUUGCAUCGGCCCCGAGCGCGCCGAUCUGGUCGUUGCGGGCUGC